GAUGAGCGCUAGCGACAGGCCUAACACAUGCAAGUCGAGGGGCAGCACAUGAGUAGCAAUACGAUGGUGGCGACCGGCGCACGGGUGAGUAACGCGUAUGCAACCUACCUAUUACAGGGGAAUAACUCUCGGAAACGGGAACUAAUACCGCAUAGUACUAUUGAACCGCAUGGUUUGAUAGUUAAAGAUUUAUUGGUAAUGGAUGGGCAUGCGUGACAUUAGUUUGUUGGUAGGGUAACGGCCUACCAAGACUACGAUGUCUAGGGGUUCUGAGAGGAAGGUCCCCCACACUGGUACUGAGACACGGACCAGACUCCUACGGGAGGCAGCAGUGAGGAAUAUUGGUCAAUGGGCGAGAGCCUGAACCAGCCAAGUCGCGUGCAGGAUGACUGCCUUAUGGGUUGUAAACUGCUUUUAUAAAGGAAUAACAACUCUUACGUGUAAGAGGAUGAAUGUACUUUAGGAAUAAGGAUCGGCUAACUCCGUGCCAGCCGCCGCAGUAAUAC
rnacentral:rRNA from 1 species